CCAGUGACAUGUACUCAAUAUUUAGGCACUAGUAAUAUCCUUCAGAGUGACUACAUUUUUAUGGUUUAACUGUAUUGUAUACAUAUAUUUAAAUGUAUUCAUUUAUACAAACUUUAUAUUAUGUAUGGAGUGCCAGAAAUGUACAUAUCAUGAUGCAAUGCAUAUAUAGUUGUUAUAAAUAUGAUAAUUGAUUUUUAGUGCAGAAAGUUUCCUUGUAUUGCAUUUCAUGUGCUUAAAUGUGGUAAACAAUUUGAAAGCACUUCAACUUAUUUCUACUCCAUCUCUUUUAUUUUGUGGGACUGAAUUCCUAUCUACAAUAUUAAGAAGUAUGUUCCAAAUCUCUCUCUCUCUUUGCAUAAUUCUUUAUAUGAGUCUGACUUGUGAAGUCAUAGCUAAUCAAAAUAUAUCACAAGGAAUGUAUAACAAAUGCCAGAUUUUGGCUUGGGAUAUAUUUGGAUUACUUCCAUUUGAAGAUAAUUCUGUCAUUGUGAUUAAGGACAAACUCCUAUUAAAGUCACAGAAGGCUUGACCUCAAUCAAGCCCAUAUUUGGUUCCUGAGAACAGAAUUUGUCUCCAAAAUUAAAAAGAGGUCAAAUGCAAAGAUAUAUAGAAAAUUAAAAGAAAGAAAAGGGUUAGGAUAGGAAUGACUUUCACAAAUAGCAAUCAAGAGAGGUCCAGUCACUAAAAAUUGUCUUUUGUCACAGUUCUGCUUCCAAAUGAAACAGAUGUUAUUGCCUCACCAUUUGGGGCAGAAGAAAACAAACACCUGUGAUAUAAUCAGCUAUUCUAAUCAUCAACAAAAUGACCCACUGCUAAAAACCUUGUUUGAAAUACUGAUGGCUGCCAAGUUACCAACCAAAAUGCUGUCAACAUAAUCAGUCUAAAUAUAUUCCCUCAUUUAAGUCAGUGUCAUGAUUAAACCAGAGGGCUUACCAGAAACAAAACAAAAAACAAAAAUAAAGUGUACAUAACUUAAAAAGAUUUAGCAGAGAUAUUUGUAAUGCAAGCUAUGCUACAGCAUCAUACGAGAAUAUUCAUGCAUCCUGAAUUGGAAAGCAUCUCUAUGGAACACAAUCUAAGUGAGAAGUCUAACCUUUCUUCAGAGAUCAUAAGGAUUUAAAAAAAUAUGUGACCUUAAAUUCUAUAUAUGCACCUAAAAUUUCCAAAAGAGGAUAGAACUGUAAAAAUGUGCCAAUUACUUAUCAGAGGUACCUAUAAGGAAAAUCUAUGCAGCACACAAGGUGAAAUGAGUAUUGGAAAAAAUAAUACUGUUAACAUAACCAAAACAUCUUAGGGCAAAAGCCCAAGAAAAGUUUGGUAAGGUCUUCACUUACUGAGGCAUAAAAUUAACUUCAAAAUUAUCACCAAGACAGCUCUAGUAUUCAUAGAACUUGAAACUAAAGGAAUUUUGGAGGACUUGUUUUUCCAGCUAAAUAUUAGGCUGAAAAAUAAGAAACAUGCUACAACCAAAAGAAUGAGAACAUCAGGACUUAGAGGUCAGCAUCUUUUCUAAAUUCUUUCUAACUCUAUUGCCUUUAAAUAGUUUAAGCAACCUAACUAUAUCACAU
ensembl:lncRNA